rnacentral:lncRNA from 1 species
CAGACAUUUGAGGAACAAAAAUAGCACACAUAAUGAGCUCCCUUAUUUAGCCAAACCUCUUUUUUUGUUUAAAUAACCUUCCUUUUCUUUCUCUGGUGUGCACAGACACACCAAACAUGGAGCAUCUUCAAACAGCGGGAGGUACUUUGGGCAUUGGGAUGGGGAGAAAAUGGAUGGAUGUGACUGCUGUCCAUGCAAGUACUGCUUAGAUAAACUAUACAGGAACAGCUUAGCAAGUGAUCUCUCCACCAAGAGAAGCAAUGGAUGCCCAUCUCUGCAGAUGCUCCAGGCAGCUUUGUUUUGUCAGAUUAAGCUGCGAUUCUUUCCAAUUGAGGCAUCUGGAGGGUGAACCUACUUAACAACUCACAACUGUUCGGUAUCUCUGGAGGUUAAUUUCGAGAGCAAACAACUUGGAGUCAAGAAAAUCCUCAGCCUAUAAUGGGAGCAUCCACAUUUUAGCAAAGCUUCGUGCAAAAGCCUGGGAGAGAUUGAAUGGUGCAAUGACUCCCUGCUUGCUCCUGUUCCUCCAGAGGGGACGCAGCACAGCUGAGGUG